rnacentral:rRNA from 1 species
UGACCUCAAAUCAGGUAAGACUACCCGCUGAACUUAAGCAUAUCAGUAAGCGGAGGAAAAGAAACUAACAAGGAUUCCCCUAGUAACUGCGAGUGAAGCGGGAAAAGCUCAAAUUUAAAAUCUGGCAGUCUUUGGCUGUCCGAGUUGUAAUUUAGAGAAGCACUGCCUGCGCUGGACUGUGUACAAGUCUCCUGGAAUGGAGCGUCAUAGAGGGUGAGAAUCCCGUAUAUGACACAGUUGCCGGGGCUUAGUGGCAUGCUCUCCAAGAGUCGAGUUGUUUGGGAAUGCAGCUCAAAAUGGGUGGUAAAUUCCAUCUAAAGCUAAAUAUAGGCGAGAAACCGAUAGCGAACAAGUACCGUGAGGGAAAGAUGAAAAGAACUUUGGAAAGAGAGUUAAACAGUACGUGAAAUUGUUGAAAGGGAAACACUUGAAGUCAGUCACAUUGCUGGAAAUCACACUUGCUUUGAUUGCUUGUGGCUCUUUCCUAGUAAUGGGUCAGCAUCAGUUUUGAUUGUUGGACAAGGGUUGGAGGAAUGUGGCAUCCUUGGAUGUGUUAUAGCCUCUGAUCAUAUGCAAUGAUGGAGACUGAGGAACUCGGCAUUUUGUGCUUAGGAUGCUGGCA